rnacentral:rRNA from 1 species
CCUACGGGAGGCUGCAGUGAGGAAUAUUGGUCAAUGGCCGGAAGGCUGAACCAGCCAAGCCGCGUGAAGGAGGAAGGCGCAGAGCGUCGCAAACCUCUUUUGCCGGGGAACAAAAGGCCGGACUCGUCCGGUCCUGAAUGUACCCGGUGAAAAAGCAUCGGCUAACUCCGUGCCAGCAGCCGCGGUAAUACGGAGGAUGCGAGCGUUAUCCGGAUUCAUUGGGUUUAAAGGGUGCGCAGGCGGGCCUUUAAGCCGGCGGUGAAAUCGGGGGGCUCAACCCCGCAGUGCCGUCGGAACUGGGGGCCUUGAGUGCGGCGGAGGUAUGCGGAAUGCGCGGUGUAGCGGUGAAAUGCAUAGAUAUCGCGCAGAACCCCGAUUGCGAAGGCAGCUGACUAAACUGCAACUGACAUUGAUGCUCGAAAGUGUGGGUAUCAAACAGGAUUAGAUACCCUUGUAGUC